rnacentral:rRNA from 1 species
UGGGGAAUUUUGCACAAUGGGGGAAACCCUGAUGCAGCGACGCCGCGUGAUUUAGAAGGCCUUCGGGUUGUAAAAAUCUUUUCUAUGGGAAGAAAAUGACAGUACCAUAGGAAUAAGGACCGGCUAAUUACGUGCCAGCAGCCGCGGUAAUACGUAAGGUCCGAGCGUUGUCCGGAAUCAUUGGGCGUAAAGGGUACGUAGGCGGGUAAGCAAGUUAGAAGUGAAAUCCUAUAGCUCAACUAUAGUAAGCUUUUAAAACUGCUCAUCUUGAGGUAUGGAAGGGAAAGUGGGAUUCCUAGUGUAGCGGUGAAAUGCGCAGAUAUUAGGAGGAAUACCGGUGGCGAAGGCGACUUUCUGGCCAUAACCUGACGCUGAGGUACGAAAGCGUGGGUAGCAAACAGG